UACUGCUGCUCUGCACACUGACCCCUUCACCAGGAAUCGCUCUGAAAAUAAUUUAAAAAGUACUUUCAACCACUGCUGCUCUGCACGCUGACUCACUUCACCAGGAAUCUUUCCAGAAACAUGUUACCAGAUCUUCUCGAUCCAACUAUUACUGCUCUGAAGCCUUAAAAUCAUUCACGUG